AAGAUGGCGACCGGCGCACGGGUGAGUAACACGUAUCCAACCUGCCGAUAACUCCGGAAUAGCCUUUCGAAAGAAAGAUUAAUACCGGAUGGCAUACGAAUAUCGCAUGAUAUUUUUAUUUAAAGAAUUUCGGUUAUCGAUGGGGAUGCGUUCCAUUAGUUUGUUGGCGGGGUAACGGGCCCACCAAGACUACGAUGGAUAGGGGUUCUGAGAGGAAGGUCCCCCACAUUGGAACUGAGACACGGUCCAAACUCCUACGGGAGGCAGCAUG
rnacentral:rRNA from 1 species